CAAACAAAUGAGACCUUGGACCCCGUAUUAAACCCAUGAGACGGAAACAUGCAUGCAUGCAAAUAUUGAUUAAUUGGUUGAUUGAUUUAAAGAUUGGUUGGUUGAUUGAUUGAUUGAUUGAAUGACAAUUUGGUUGGUUGGUUGGUUGGUGGAUUGAUCAAUUAAACACGUUGGAUAGGGUCAAUUAAAACAAGCAAAAAAACCACAAAUGAAACAUUAGACCCCGUAUUAAAC
rnacentral:lncRNA from 1 species